UGGGGAAUAUUGCACAAUGGGCGCAAGCCUGAUGCAGCCAUGCCGCGUGUAUGAAGAAGGCCUUCGGGUUGUAAAGUACUUUCAGGGGGGACGAAGGCGAUGUGGUUAAUAACCGCGUCGAUUGACGUUACCCGCAGAAGAAGCACCGGCUAACUCCGUGCCAGCAGCCGCGGUAAUACGGAGGGUGCAAGCGUUAAUCGGAAUUACUGGGCGUAAAGCGCACGCAGGCGGUCUGUCAAGUCGGAUGUGAAAUCCCCGGGCUCAACCUGGGAACUGCAUCCGAAACUGGCAGGCUUGAGUCUCGUAGAGGGGGGUAGAAUUCCAGGUGUAGCGGUGAAAUGCGUAGAGAUCUGGAGGAAUACCGGUGGCGAAGGCGGCCCCCUGGACGAAGACUGACGCUCAGGUGCGAAAGCGUGGGGAGCAAACA
rnacentral:rRNA from 1 species